rnacentral:rRNA from 1 species
AUUGAACGCUGGCGGCAUGCCUUACACAUGCAAGUCGAACGGUAACAGGUCUUCGGAUGCUGACGAGUGGCGAACGGGUGAGUAAUACAUCGGAACGUGCCCGAUCGUGGGGGAUAACGGAGCGAAAGCUUUGCUAAUACCGCAUACGAUCUACGGAUGAGAGCAGGGGACCGCAAGGCCUUGCGCGGACGGAGCGGCCGAUGGCAGAUUAGGUAGUUGGUGGGAUAAAAGCUUACCAAGCCGACGAUCUGUAGCUGGUCUGAGAGGACGACCAGCCACACUGGGACUGAGACACGGCCCAGACUCCUACGGGAGGCAGCAGUGGGGAAUUUUGGACAAUGGGCGAAAGCCUGAUCCAGCCAUGCCGCGUGCAGGAUGAAGGCCUUCGGGUUGUAAACUGCUUUUGUACGGAACGAAAAGCCUCUUUCUAAUAAAGAGAGGUCAUGACGGUACCGUAAGAAUAAGCACCGGCUAACUACGUGCCAGCCGCCGCAGUAAGAC